rnacentral:sRNA from 1 species
UCUUGGACAAGAAGAAACGAAAACAAAAUAACAUUCCAAAUAUGGUUGAAGUUAUACAUCACUCGAGGGGUUCGAAUUGAAGUCACCAGCAAGGAUCACCGAUGGACUGCAAUUUUCUACAGCCGAUAUCGUCCUCUUGAACAUGGCUAAUCUAAACAUUAGAGACUUGGCUUGAGCCAGUUUUACAUCAUCCCAUUCAUCAGGUUUCCUGCGUUUGAAAAAUUAUGAAAAUCAUAUAUAUAUGAAAGUUGGCCAACUCUCUCCAAAUGAGUGACACAUCAUCACACAAUAAAAUGACAUGUGUCAUUCUAUAUUAAUUAAAUUAAAAGAGUAGUAAAACUAAUUGAGAAAAAAUCAAAAGUCUUUUGUUGUGUUAAAUUCUUCAUUAAUUUCACUCUUAAAUGAAUUUUCUAAAAACAUUCAAUUAUAAAAAUUCAUAAUAAUGUAUCAAGCACUACUUUCAUUCUAUUCUACUUAUUUUAUUAAAU